rnacentral:rRNA from 1 species
CGAACGCUGGCGGCGUGCCUAAUACAUGCAAGUAGAACGCACAGUUUAUACCGUAGCUUGCUACACCAUAGACUGUGAGUUGCGAACGGGUGAGUAACGCGUAGGUAACCUGCCUGGUAGCGGGGGAUAACUAUUGGAAACGAUAGCUAAUACCGCAUAAUAUUAAUUAUUGCAUGAUAAUUAAUUGAAAGGUGCAAUUGCACCACUACCAGAUGGACCUGCGUUGUAUUAGCUAGUAGGUGAGGUAACGGCUCACCUAGGCGACGAUACAUAGCCGACCUGAGAGGGUGAUCGGCCACACUGGGACUGAGGCACGGCCCAGACUCCUACGGGAGGCAGCAGUAGGGAAUCUUCGGCAAUGGACGAAAGUCUGACCGAGCAACGCCGCGUGAGUGAAGAAGGUUUUCGGAUCGUAAAGCUCUGUUGUAAGAGAAGAACGGGUGUGAGAGUGGAAAGUUCACACUGUGACGGUAUCUUACCAGAAAGGGACGGCUAACUACGUG